AGUAUCAUUAAGUGAAUACAUAGCUUAAUGAGGGGAACUCAGGGAACUGAAACAUCUAAGUACCUGAAGGAAGAGAAAGAAAUUCGAUUCCGUAAGUAGCGGCGAGCGAACGCGGAUUAGCCCAAACCAAUAAAGUUUUCUUUAUUGGGGUUGCGGACAUAUCAUAACGAAGAGGUAUCGUAAUUGAAGAGGUUUGGAAAGACCCACCACAGAAGGUAAUAGUCCUGUAUGUUAAACGAGAAGACUUUAGAUAUGAUCCAGAGUACCACGGGACACGUGAAACCCUGUGGGAAGCAGGAGGGACCACCCUCCAAGGCUAAAUACUACCUAGUGACCGAUAGCGUAUAGUACCGUGAGGGAAAGGUGAAAAGAACCCCGGGAGGGGAGUGAAAUAGAACCUGAAACCCUGCACUUACAAGCUGUGGAAGCACAUUUCUUGUGUGACCGCGUACUUUUUGUAGAACGGGCCAACGAGUUACGUUAAGUAGCAAGGUUAAGCACUUAAGGUGCGGAGCCGUAGCGAAAGCGAGUUUUAACUGAGCGGUCAGUUACUUGACGUAGACCCGAAACCGGGCGACCUACCCAUGAGCAGGAUGAAGCGAAAGUAAAAUUUCG
rnacentral:rRNA from 1 species